AGGGCAUUUGGUGGAUGCCUUGGCACCGAGAGGCGAUGAAGGACGUGGCACGCUGCGAAAAACCCCGGGGAGCUGCGAGCAAGCUUUGAUCCGGGGGUUUCCGAAUGGGGCAACCCACCCUUAGGGGUAUCGUCGGCUGAAUAGAUAGGUCGGCGAGGCGAACCGCGGGAACUGAAACAUCUCAGUACCGCGAGGAAAGGACAUCAACCGAGACUCCGCGAGUAGUGGCGAGCGAAAGCGGACCAGGCCAGUGACUUGAAUACCGUAACCGGAACGCUCUGGAAGGGGUGGCCAUAGUGGGUGAGAGCCCCGUACGGGUAAUCGGUAUGCGAGUCCUUGAGUAAGGCGGGACACGUGAAAUCCUGUCUGAACAUGGGGGGACCACCCUCCAAGCCUAAGUACUCCUCGGUGACCGAUAGGGAACGAGUACCGUGAGGGAAAGGUGAAAAGCACCCCGACGAGGGGAGUGAAAGAGACCUGAAACCGAAUGCCUACAAGCAGUCGGAGCGGCGGCCCGUCGCGAGACGGGCGGCUGUGACGGCGUACCUUUUGUAUAAUGGGUCAGCGAGUUCGUCUGUGCAGCAAGCUUAAGCCGUUAGGUGGAGGCGAAGCGAAAGCGAGUCUGAAUAGGGCGCUGAGUUGCACGGAUGAGACCCGAAACCGGGUGAUCUAGCCAUGAGCAGGUUGAAGGUGCGGUAACACGCCCUGGAGGACCGAACCCACUACUGUUGCAAAAGUAGGGGAUGACUUGUGGCUAGGGGUGAAAGGCCAAUCAAACCCGGAAAUAGCUGGUUCUCCGCGAAAUCUAUUGAGGUAGAGCGUCGCGUAUCACCGACGGGGGUAGAGCACUGGAUGGGCUAGGGGGUCUCACCGACUUACCAAACCUAACCAAACUUCGAAUACCGUCGAGUGCAGCGCGGCAGGCAGUCUGCGGGUGCUAACGUCCGUAGACGAGAGGGAAACAACCCAGACCGCCAGCUAAGGUCCCCAAGUCAUGGCUGAGUGGGAAAGGAUGUGGGAAGGCCAAGACAACCAGGAGGUUGGCUUAGAAGCAGCCAUCCUUUAAAGAAAGCGUAACAGCUCACUGGUCUAUUAGCCGGCCUGCGCCGAAGAUGUAUCGGGGCUUAAGCCAUGCACCGAAGCUGCGGAAUCCGCGCAAGCGGAUUGGUAGCGGAGCGUUCCGUAAGCCUGUGAAGGUGUCUCGUGAGGGGCGCUGGAGGUAUCGGAAGUGAGAAUGCUGACAUGAGUAGCGUAAACAGGGCGAGAAACCCUGUCGCCGAAAGUCCAAGGGUUCCUGCGCCAGGGUAAUCCGCGCAGGGUGAGCCGGCCCCUAAGGCGAGGGCGAAAGCCGUAGUCGAUGGGAACCACGUCAACAUUCGUGGGCCAGUCGGAGGUGACGAAGGUCGGUAGUUGUCCAUCCUUAUCGGAUUGGGUGGGCAGCGGCGACGUUCCAGGAAAUAGCCCCGACAAUAGACCGUACCCGAAACCGACACGGGUGGACUGGUAGAGUAUACCAAGGCGAUUGAGAGAACGGUGUUGAAGGAACUAGGCAAAUUGACCCCGUAACUUCGGAAGAAGGGGUACCUUUGCCGGGGCAACCCGGUGGAGGUGGCACAGACCAGGGGGUAGCGACUGUUUACUAAAAACACAGGGCUCUGCGAAGUCGCAAGACGACGUAUAGGGUCUGACGCCUGCCCGGUGCCGGAAGGUUAAGAGGAGGGGUGCAAGCUCUGAAUCGAAGCCCCGGUAAACGGCGGCCGUAACUAUAACGGUCCUAAGGUAGCGAAAUUCCUUGUCGGGUAAGUUCCGACCUGCACGAAUGGCGUAACGACUUCCCCGCUGUCUCCAACACCGACUCAGCGAAAUUGAAUUCUCCGUGAAGAUGCGGAGUCCCCGCGGUCAGACGGAAAGACCCCGUGCACCUUUACUACAACUUUGCAGUGGUGCCAGGGAUCGCUUGUGUAGGAUAGGUGGGAGCCUAUGAAGCGGUGGCGUCAGCCGCCGUGGAGGCAUCCUUGAAAUACCACCCUGGCGGUUCUUGGCCUCUAACCGUGGUCCGUGAUCCGGAUCCGGGACCCUGCAUGGUGGGUAGUUUGACUGGGGCGGUCGCCUCCCAAAGAGUAACGGAGGCGCGCGAUGGUGGGCUCAGGCUGGUCGGAAAUCAGCCGCUGAGUGCAAUGGCAUAAGCCCGCCUGACUGCGAGACCGACAGGUCGAGCAGAGACGAAAGUCGGUCAUAGUGAUCCGGUGGUCCCGCGUGGAAGGGCCAUCGCUCAACGGAUAAAAGGUACGCCGGGGAUAACAGGCUGAUGACCCCCAAGAGUCCCUAUCGACGGGGUCGUUUGGCACCUCGAUGUCGGCUCAUCACAUCCUGGGGCUGGAG
rnacentral:rRNA from 1 species